AACUCUCAACGAUGGAUGCCUCGGCUCGAGAAUCGAUGAAGGACGCAGCAAAGUGCGAUAAGCAUGCGAAUUGCAGAAUUCCGUGAAUCAGUAGAAAUCUCAACGCAAACUGCACAAAGGGGGUCUUUCCUCUUUGUACAUAUUCAUCAGCGUCGCCA
rnacentral:rRNA from 1 species